rnacentral:rRNA from 1 species
UGGGGAAUAUUGGACAAUGGGGGAAACCCUGAUCCAGCAAUACCGCGUGAGUGAUGAAGGCCUUCGGGUUGUAAAGCUCUUUUAAUAGGGAAGAUGAUGACGGUACCUAUAGAAAAAGCACCGGCUAACUCUGUGCCAGCAGCCGCGGUAAUACAGAGGGUGCAAGCGUUGUUCGGAAUUACUGGGCGUAAAGGGCGCGUAGGCGGCCUUUUAAGUCAGGCGUGAAAGCCCCAGGCUCAACCUGGGAGGUGCGCUUGAUACUGGAAGGCUAGAGUAUAGGAGAGGAAAGCAGAAUUCCUAGUGUAGAGGUGAAAUUCGUAGAUAUUAGGAAGAAUACCGGUGGCGAAGGCGGCUUUCUGGACUAUUACUGACGCUGAGGCGCGAAAGCGUGGGGAGCAAA